CAAAAGAGUCACAUGCGACGAAGAAGAGACACUGUAGCAUUUGCAAGAAUGAAGGGCAUGCUAAAAACAAUUGUCCGUCGGUGAGGGAUAUUGGGCCAACAAUUGACAACAUAUCGCAACACGUUGAUCCAUAGUGAUAUAUUUAUGGGAGUAAGGUGGGUGGAAGCUUGGGAAGGGUGGAAUUUAUUGUUGUUUAUUAUCACUAAUAGUAUUUUAAUACAGACUGAACCUUGGGGUCUGUACUUGUGUUUUUAUGGUCUGGGUUGGUAUCAUAAAAGCUCCCAAAUGCUGGUGAGUGGUGUUUGGUUAAUUUAAAUUGAUGUAGAGAUACCGAUUGGUGUAAAGGAUAAUGCUGAUUGUGAAUGUUGUCAAUUGAUUUUUUUUAGAAAGAUGUUGUGGCUUGCCUAUUAUCAGAAGAGGAGUCGUAGUUGAUGUUUUUAUCUUCCUGACAUAUCGUAGUUGAUGUCUUGGGCAAGUUAGAGCAAGCAACAGCUUUCCCGUGGAAAAUGAAUGCAGUUGCAGUGAUAAUCUCUUGACAUUGUUCAUAGUUUUCUCUUAGAUUUAUUUAAGCUCCUUUUGGAUGGUUGAAUUGAUCGUUCUGCCACAGAGAAUUGGGAAGAGUUAUUAUGUUGGUUUUAAAUACAUUGUUAAAUUAAGUUAGUAAA